rnacentral:rRNA from 1 species
GAUGAACGCUGGCGGCGUGCCUAAUACAUGCAAGUCGAGCGAACAGACGAGAGUGCUUGCACUCUCUGCCGUUAGCGGCGGACGGGUGAGUAACACGUGGGUAACCUACCUAUAAGACUGGGAUAACUUCGGGAAACCGGAGCUAAUACCGGAUAAUAUUUAGCUUCGCAUGAAGCAAUAGUGAAAGACGGUUCUGCUGUCACUUAUAGAUGGACCCGCGGUGUAUUAGCUGGUUGGUGAGGCAACGGCUCACCAAGGCAACGAUACAUAGCCGACCUGAGAGGGUGAUCGGCCACACUGGGACUGAGACACGGCCCAGACUCCUACGGGAGGCAGCAGUAGGGAAUCUUCCGCAAUGGACGAAAGUCUGACGGAGCAAUGCCGCGUGAGUGAAGAAGGUUUUCGGAUCGUAAAACUCUGUUGUAAGGGAAGAACAAGUACGUUAGUAACUGAACGUACCUUGACGGUACCUUACCAGAAAGCCACGGCUAACUACGUG